GGGCGUAGCUCAGUCGGUUAGAGUGCCGGCCUGUCACGCCGGAGGUCGCGGGUUCGAGCCCCGUCGCCC
rnacentral:tRNA from 2 species